AUUGAACGCUGGCGGCAUGCCUUACACAUGCAAGUCGAACGGCAGCGGGGACUUCGGUCCGCCGGCGAGUGGCGAACGGGUGAGUAAUGUAUCGGAACGUACCUUUCAGUGGGGGAUAACGUAGCGAAAGUUACGCUAAUACCGCAUAUUCUCUGAGGAGGAAAGCCGGGGACCUUCUGGCCUUGUGCUGAGGGAGCGGCCGAUACCAGAUUAGCUAGUUGGUGAGGUAAAGGCUCACCAAGGCGACGAUCUGUAGCGGGUCUGAGAGGAUGAUCCGCCACACUGGGACUGAGACACGGCCCAGACUCCUACGGGAGGCAGCGGUGGGGAAUUUUGGACAAUGGGCGCAAGCCUGAUCCAGCCAUGCCGCGUGAGUGAAGAAGGCCUUCGGGUUGUAAAGCUCUUUCGGACGGGAAGAAAUUGGUGGGGCUAAUAUCCCCAUCGGAUGACGGUACCGUAAUAAGAAGCACCGGCUAACUACGUGCCAGCAGCCGCCGCCGUAA
rnacentral:rRNA from 1 species